UCUGAAUAUAAGUAUAGUUCUACAUAUCCAAUAUUUGAUCGUUCGUUUUAUUUGAAAUUUUUUUAUGAUUAGUAUUUUUGUUGUUAUUAGACGAUAAAACAUAAAUAGUACAUGAAUAGUACUUUAUGUGUGACUUUUUUCUAUUUUUUUCAUAUUUUUUUAAUAAGACGGAUGGUCAAACGUUGAAUACGGAUUUCCACGGCCACACUUAUU
rnacentral:pre_miRNA from 1 species